GGAUUCACAGGGGGUACAGUGGGUACAGCUGUACCCCCAUUCCCCAAAACUUUUUUGAAGAAAAUAAAAGCAAAAGGGUAAAAAAAAAAAAGUUACACUGUAUCCUCUCUUUCUCUCUCCUCUGGGCUCUCUGUCAUUCAUAACAUUAUUUUUCCUUCUCCCUCAUCCUUUUUCCUCUCUGAAAUCAACAAUGGACAUUGAAGGAUUAUCGAUAAUCUGUGCCGGCAUCGGUUCUUUUGAUAAAGAUGAAGAUGGUAAUAUUGAUUACAUCAAGGAAGAAUUUUGCUUAGAUAAUUUGAAGGAUUUGUUGAGGUAUUUGCGCCGUGAUGAUCCGUCGACUAGGGAAUAGGGAUGAAGAUCUGUUUAUAUCCCCUUUUCUUUUCUGAUUACGGCUGGAGUGUCGCUCGCCGGAUAUUGCUGACCGCCGCCUGCGGAGGCCGGUCGCUACUAACCCAGAACGGCAGAACGCCAGUCGCCAGAAACCCAGAACAGCAGAACCCUACUGGUUGAGAAGCUGCAAGGAGAAAGAAAUUGGGUCAGGAGCACCACCACAGACUCCAACACCAGCAAGGCGGGAGAAGAGGAAAAAAACCCAAAACCAAUAAGGAGGGUGCAGGAGAGAGGACACGGUGGAGGGAGAAGGAAAAAAAGUUGUGGCGAAAAAAAAAACAAAAAAAAAUAUUUUACCUAUUGUAGCAGGUCAUUGACCUAGUGGAACCAAUUUGUCAAAAAUGAGCAUAAUUGAGACCGCUCAAAAAUAAUCCUUAAUUGAGACUGAAAAUGACAAAACACCCAAAUUGAGACUUUUCUUAUGGAUUGCAAUGGGACGGGUAUGCCCAAGUGGGGUAGGGAUUGAUCUAGUUUUGGUAGGGAUGGGACAGUACGAGACGAGCAAUGGGAUUAAAAUCCUACCCAUAAUGGGCAAUGGAGCGGGUAUGAAUUUUAUGCUAUCCUCGCCCCAUCCCCACGCCCCAAUAUAUAUACGAUUAAAAUUUUAAUUAUAUACUUAUAUUAUUAAUAAUUUUAUCUCGCAAAAUAUAAACAUAUGGGUAUGACAUAAGUAC